rnacentral:SRP_RNA from 1 species
GCCAGGUGUGGUGGCUCACACCUGUAAUCCUAGCACUUUGGGAGGCCGAGGCAGGUGGAUCACCUGAGGUCAGGAGUUCGAGACCAGCCUGGCCAACAUGGUGAAACCCUGUCUCUA